UACGUAGGGCGCAAGCGUUAUCCGGAAUUAUUGGGCGUAAAGAGCUCGUAGGCGGCUUGUCACGUCGACUGUGAAAACCCGGGGCUCAACUCCGGGCCUGCAGUCGAUACGGGCUGGCUUGAGUGCGGUAGGGGAGACUGGAAUUCCUGGUGUAGCGGUGAAAUGCGCAGAUAUCAGGAGGAACACCGGUGGCGAAGGCGGAUCUUUGGGCCGUAACUGACGCUGAGGAGCGAAAGCGUGGGGAGCGAACAGG
rnacentral:rRNA from 1 species